CAGUGCUAACACUGAAUUCUCCCCUGCCACCUGGUGGCUGAAGUUUGCAACUGCCGCCAUUCGACGCCUGCCCUAAAGCUGACCACUUGGGCAUCUCCCAGGUCCCUGGGGAUCAGACCAGGGACCUGUUCCCUUUCUAAGUCAUUGAUAGUGAGGGAAGCUGUUAGCUGUGGGGCACUGUGUCCUUGACCCUGACCGAGUCCAGCAGGGAUGCAUAAGGGCCUACCUGUAAAGAUCCCUGCACCCCCUACCAGUGAGGAGGACAUAUAUGGAACCCACUAUGGGUUCUAGGGUUCCUAGAACACUCUAGGGUUCCAUAGUCAACCCAAAGCCUCCACAGGUUCUGUGUCCUUUCAGGAUGAAGGUCUCACACACAGGCCCACUUUGCCUGCCAUCGACUGCCCUUGCUGUGUGUACCUGUGGGCACACACACCGGCCAGAGAAGAGCCAUGGAAGCUUCCUCGCCCCUUGCUUGCUCUCAGCCUUCUGUGGAUCAGUUACCCAGGGAACAGAGCACAGCCGACAAUGAGAAGAUGCAGCGUGGUUGGCCCUCUGUUCCCUGAUUCCUCCUUUGAGGAUGCGAGAAUUUCCCACUGGUGACCCAUGUUUCAUUGAGUGUGUCUGUGCCCACAUCUUUUCUCCAUCAGAAGAUGGACUGGUCUCAAAAGUGACACUUGGAUCACUUCCUAAUAGCCUUCCAGACUCAUGAUAACAUCUUGACAACAACAGGGAACACUCAAAAGACAGACUUUAAGACCCUGGCAGAGGGACAAGGACACAGGCUGAGUCAUUUUUAUUAUUCUUUUUUUUUUUUUUUUUUUUUUUUUUUUUUGUAAAUGCAGGUAAGUACAUGGUCCAAAUUAAGCUAAGAAUAGCUGCAAGUAAUACCAGUGGGAAAGUCAGAGGGAAGCAUUCAAUACCCAGAGCAGGCCAUGCAAACUGUCGAGGGGCAUGUUUGUAAGCGUUUCUGAACUUAACAUUAACUAAAGACUUGCAACAAGUCCCUAGAGCAUUUACUCUGAGAAAACAGACUGACUUCUCAGCUCGCACAGUGCCCAGUGCCGGUUACAGUGUUUCCCCUCCCUCAGCGGCCCCUCCCCCUCCCCCAAGCUCUACAGCAGCCUGACAGUCCAGGGUCCCUUGAGCCCAAGGAAGUUGGAAGGCUGCAGCACUGCAGAGAGCCCACUUGUGGAGAACUUCCUCAGCCUAGAUAAUAAUGUAGACAAUAACGGCUCAUCACUGGCAUAACUUGGGAUAACACCAAGUGGAUGAAAGUGUGAAAAGAAGGCUGGAUAAAGAAAUGUCUGGAAUGGAGCUUAGAAAACCA
rnacentral:lncRNA from 1 species